rnacentral:lncRNA from 1 species
UCGAUCAUUGUAGAAAAUCAGCUGAUAGUGAAGCUCAGAAAGUAUUUGAAGCAGCCCGGUGGAUAAAUGGAGGAGCUCAUUAUCGAAGAAGUCUGGAUGAUAUUAUGGAAGCUCGGACGGUCGGAGGAGUUCAGAAAGAUGCCACACAAGGUCGGAAGCCGGAAGAGCCCUGGAAGGGUCGGCCUUUUACGAACUUCGGCUG